rnacentral:piRNA from 1 species
CAGGAAGUCCUGAUGACAUGUGCCCG